GCGGCAGUGGCGGAACGGCAGACGCGCUAGACUCAGGAUCUAGUGGGUUUAUGCCCGUGGAGGUUCAAAUCCUCUCUGCCGCACCA
rnacentral:tRNA from 1 species